AUUGAACGCUGGCGGCAUGCCUUACACAUGCAAGUCGAACGGUAACGCGGGGCAACCUGGCGACGAGUGGCGAACGGGUGAGUAAUGCAUCGGAACGUGCCCAGUAGUGGGGGAUAGCCCGGCGAAAGCCGGAUUAAUGCCGCACACGACCUACGGGUGAAAGCGGGGGACCGUAAGGCCUCGCGCUAUUGGAGCGGCCGAUGUCAGAUUAGGUUGUUGGUGGGGUAAAAGCCUACCAAGCCGACGAUCUGUAGCUGGUCUGAGAGGACGACCAGCCACACUGGGACUGAGACACGGCCCAGACUCCUACGGGAGGCAGCAGUGGGGAAUUUUGGACAAUGGGGGCAACCCUGAUCCAGCCAUGCCGCGUGCGGGAAGAAGGCCUUCGGGUUGUAAACCGCUUUUGUCAGGGAAGAAACGCUCUGGGCUAAUACCCCGGGGUAAUGACGGUACCUGAAGAAUAAGCACCGGCUAACUACGUGCCAGCAGCCGCGGUAAGAC
rnacentral:rRNA from 1 species